UUCAUGUUGUGAUUGUUCAGUUUAUUCAUUCGAUCGUUUCCGUGAGUGCUCAGUGUUCAAUUUGUAUUCAUUCUCUAUCUCAGUCCUUCAGUAUAUAUGUCCUCAGUUUUCUUCAGUUUCAGAUUUCUGUAUUUUAGGUUCAGUGUCAUUUUAAGUCUUAUUCAGGUUUCAGUUAUUUGUAUCUUUCUCGUGCUACUCGUUCAUGUUCCUUGUCCUCAGUUGUUUUGUCAUUUCAGUAUUUCAGUUUUAGUAAUUGUUCAGAUCGUCGUCACAUCUUCUGUUAGACUAUAAGUCAAUGUUCAGAUAGUUGACUCAUCAUUGUUCAGUUGUUCUUGCAUCAUCUUAGUCAUAUUCAGUAGGUGUUUUUUUUUCGUUAUCUCAUGUUCAGUCUUUCUCUGUAAAAGAAAUCCAGUAUGUGUCACUUUUUCCUUCAGUUACAGUCAUGAUUAUCGUCAUGUUUCAGUUUUGUAGUCAGUCUUCGUUGUUAUGGUCAUUAAUUCCCCUAGGACAGUUAGCUAGUUUUACUUUUACCAAGUCAUUUUCAUUCCUGAAAUAAAGGUAUUAUUAUUCCUCAGCCAUCAAUUAUCUUCUUUUGUCCUGAGUGUCCAGUUUGCCUCUUUGUUCAGUCUGCUCAUGAUUAACUCAGCAAGUCUCCCACACUAGUGUUUAUCAGUAUCUCAGUUCUAGUUUUCAUUUUCCUCAUGAUUGCACAGUUUUAGUUUUAGUUUCUUCAGUCUCUGUUAAGUGUUUGUAUACUCAGUGAUUGAUCAAUUAUCAGAUUUUUAUGCAGGAAGGUGAUCGCAUUUUUAUUGAGUUCUUCUCUGCCAAGUGGAACAACAGGGACACAAGUAAGCCUUAUCUAACUCUAGUACAUUUUCUUUAUGUAUAAAAUGAUUCACAAGUAAGGCAAUCACAUAAAUGCAGCAUAUAUGUAUAAAUGAAAAUUUCAGUGAAGGAAGGGCAGUGUGUUGCUACCUGAGAUGAUUCCCCUUGGGGUGGCUCCAGGUGGUUGUGCUCUGGAUCGUAAGCAGUAACCCUCAGAUGCUUCCUCCGGCUCAGCAUGCAUGCUUGUUUCAUUUGAUUCAGGUGUGUGUUCUCCACCCGCAGCAACCGAUGUUUUUUCAGUUUUCAUUAGUCUCUAUCUUCGGAAGUAGUUUCGCAUGUACCUCUUCUCUAAAGGAAUGGAAAGUCGCAUACUGUCAAAGCGUUCCCUUUUCAGUCAAGUAUUUUGACUUAUAUCACUCAGCGGACAAUGCAUGGUUCCUUCAUGUUUGUAUUAUUUCUGUAUCUCAGUUUGUUUUUGAUUUAUCCCCUGCACAGGAUGAAGUGCCAAGUGUGUUUCUCCUACUGGCAAGACACGGAUGCGAACAGCACAUCGUUUCUUCACUUUUAGGUUUUCUGUAUUUCAUGGUUAGGUUCAGUGUUAUUUUCAGUCUUAUUCAGAUUUCAGUCUUUCUGUAGACUUCUCCUGCUGGGUAAUCGUUGGGUAAAUCAAGGGCUAGGCAUACGAACAAACACAGCCAUAUGAUAUAAUCAUUGAAUAUUUGUAAUUUUGGGUAAAUCAAGGGCUAGGCAUAUAGGCAACUCAAUUGAACAUGAAUUCUAGACAUAUGAAAGAACCGACACGGCGAAAAUCUUUUUUAAAAGGAAAAAACAUGUGUUCCUCACAAUGAGUACUACUAGGAGAUUUGCCUUAGAAGUUUAAAGGUUUCUGAACAAUUCAUCGCCCAACAUCGGAGUGCGGACUGAAUCCGACUCUAGUCGUCGGUGUUGCCAUUGUUCCAGGGACAUGGGUCAUCUCCUCCUACCAUUGUUGUUAUCUUCCCUUUCUCUUCUUGCUGCUGCUUCCUGUCAAUAACAAACGUUAGGGUGCAGUCGAUGGUGAAGCUAUCUUCAUUUAGGCACGACGCCGCCUCUAGCUCUGUCUUCUUGACGAUUAAGGGGUUGAACACGAAGUUGUGGCCGCCUAGCAUCUGCUUCCUGUAGAAGAGAGCGUGCUUGUUGCUCUUGUCCAAGAUUUGGAUGGCGAUGUCGAUCCCUGAAUCUGAGUGCACGACGGAGAUGUCGCUUGUUGAGUGUCUCACUGCUUUGAUGGAGAUGGAGUCGGCUGAAGUUUCGUUAGAUCCAUUGGGGUAGAGUAUGAUGCACCAAGCGAAACCGAUGAAGCGAAACUUGCGCACAGUCAGCAACGACGCGGUUGGCAUCUGUGCAAAUUUUGAGUAGCCCGAGAUCGUGAUCGAGUGGUGAAUCGUCGACGGCGACGGGCAGCUGUAGGGUAUCACAUCAUACUUUUCAUCGGCCAUCAUCAUUGAUGCCUUAGAAAGGUUGGAGUUGCACUUUAGAGCUAGCAGAUUUCGAUAUAAGCUUCCUCUAAGCCGGCGCCACCAUUUGGAUCUAGCUGCUGCCUUCUUUUGCCUCUUCUGCUUCUUCGUGUCGAUGAACGUGAGAGUGCACCUCACGGGGAUGUUGUCGUUGUGAACGCAAGAUGUCACCUCCAGAUCGCUCCUAUUGAGCUUCACGGACACGAGCGGGAUGUCACCGCCGAGUUCGUGCUCCUCGUGGAAGAUGGUGCGCUCCCAGGUGUUGUCUAGGAUUUCUAUCGACACGUUGAUGCGUGAGGCGAAGCUUGAGCCGCCAUGGGGAGAGAUCCAGACAAUGACACUGUUAGGUACGCCCCUGAUGAAAUCAUCGGGAGUCAACUUGACUUCCCAGGCUCCGCGGAAGAACAACCACCGGAUCAGGGUCGUCGGGGAGCCAGGGGGCUUCAGCCAGAGAUUAGAGAAGCCGGGGAUCGCGAAGAGUUCCAUCAUGGACUCCGUCGUCGGGAACGUGACGCUUGCCAUCGAUGAUGGUGGAUUAAGUCGAAGUCGACCUGGAGAUUGGAAAACUCAAAACGGAAUGAGCGCCGGCCUGCUUUGCAUAGCGUAUAUUAAGAUAAGUAUAUGGAAGGACAAUCGUCGUUAAGAUCGUGUUGCCGCCUUUCAUAACCAUGCAUAUGAAGGACUUUCUUAACUUGAUCGACAAUGCAUUUUCCGGUAGUAAUUUAAUCCAUGAUUUGACUUCCUGUAUUAAUGUGAUUGUGCCCAUAUUAAAUAAAUGUUACUUAAUCUUGUCGUGAUUUAAUUUCCUAAUUAUAUUUUAGAAUUUUAUUUCCUAAUACCUUAUUGGCCUCACUACAGGAAAUACUUCUCAGCCGUGUAUGUUUCAUACAUGGCAAAGGUCAUUUUAAACACGGCGAACAGUAAGUUGAGUGUUACACUUGGCAUAGUGCAUUCGGCUUAGAAUGUUUCAGCUUAGAGUCUAUAAGCCGAGUGUCACUUAUCGGGCAUACAACUUAUAGGUAAGCUGAGAGUAUAAAGUAGGGGCACACGGCAAACAAAGUGGGAUCACGACCGGCAACAUGAAGCAGACGUGCCACGCGGCCCACCUGUAAGCCGAGUGUUCUUAUAAGCCGCGUGCUAGGUAGAAUACACGAUUUACACGUAAGCCAUAACAUCUACUCCCUCCGUUCCCAAAUAUUUGUCUUUCUAGGCAUUUCAAAUAGACACAACAUACGGAUGUAUGUAGACAUAUUUUAGAGUGUAGAUUCACUCAUUUUGCUCCGUAUGUAGUCACUUGUUGAAAUUUCUAAAAAGACAAAUAUUUGGGAGCAGAGGGAGUAGCUUAGCCAUGUGUUGCGGGAAGUGCAUGGCUUACAGAUAAGCCGAGUGCUGGUUAUAAGCCGAAAGUCCUUUAAGAGUCACCGUUUAUUCAUAUGCCGUGUCUGGCUUUCUAACACUGGUCGGGGCUCGAGCAUUUGCCAUGUGUCACAUAUAAACCGUGUACUAUGUGGGCCGACACUCGGCUAUAACUAAACCGGUAGGUGCAGACUGGUUCUUGUGGUUCUGUAAGCCGAGUGCGUUUAUACAUACGCGGCUUUUAGAUGAAUACAAGCCGAGUGCAUUUACUGGGCGGUACGGCUUAGCUACAUACACCGAGUGCUUUAUCAUGGGCUAGACGGCUUAGAAGUCGUAAGCUGAGUGUAAUACUCGGCUUAUAUACCAAACUGCAUUUUUCUAUCUGUUUGUUGUGACAACCCUGCAAUUGAAACAAAAGAAUAUAUAACUCCAUCAAUAUAUAUCCAACAAUAGAUACAUCGAGUAUACACAUGCAUAGAUAACUCCAUCAAGUUCAAAAUAUGCAUACAUAUCCAACGAUAGAUACAUCAAGUUCACACAUGCAUAUAUAACUCCGUCAAGUGCAUACAUAUCCAACAAAUUUAGAACCAAAACCAAGUUCGCGAGUGCAUAAUUGGUAACAUAGUUGCACAUUCACACCAAACAUAACCAUAUUGUUCAUCAACACACAGUUCGCACCCAUGAGCUCCACUGCUAAGAACAUAGCAUGUACGUCCACCGUUGAUGGCAUCCUCUUUGCAAACCUACAAAUUCAUUAUGACAAGAAAAUUUAGAUGCAAAUUUUCAACAACAUACAUAGUUUCAAUCUUGGGUUUUAAGUUUGUAAGUAAACAUCAAUACAAAGUUUACAAAGAAGUUUGAGAUCUAAGUUCAAAAUAAAAAGCGUAAGUUCACAACCAAGCUUGCUUCGCCAUACCGUUUGCAUUUUGUUGCAUCAUCUGUAAAACAAUCACGAAAGAUAUUUCAUCAGUUGUAGAAGAAGAAUAGCAAAUAUAACAUCAAUAGAAAAGAAGUAACAUUUUCCCCAAUGUAUACUAACCGUGCAAGAUAUCAUCGAUACCAAAAUGACGACGAACUGAACAAAGAUUAUGUUCUUCAGCCCAUCAAACCCGGUCUGACCUACACCCUUGCCUACUCCAUCAUUGCACUUCGCUAUGAGCACGAACUUGGAGUAAUGAUCCUCUGCCUGCUGCCUAGUUGGAAACCCUUUAUAGAAGGUAUUGUUGUGACCGUCCACCUGUUCACUACAUUCCUCCCACGUAUCGUACACUCCAGGAGACCUCCCUCUACACACCAUAUGCCACCUCAUCUACCAAGAGAAGAACACGCAUGAUUUGAACAAGCAAAACAUGAGAAGCAAUCGGAUUUUAGAAGAAAAAAAUAACAUAGACAACAUAAGCAUUAAUGAUUCAGAUACCCAAAAGCACCAUCAGAAGUCGACAUCAGUAGCUACAUUCAGUACAUCAGCAUCAAACUAUCUAACAAGGCUACUCUUAGAAUGGAGCUCUAUCCAGACUGGUAGUCUGUGAAGCCGAUGAGUGUGGAGUCGGAAGAGGUGGGGAUCUCCCCCUCAGUGGAGGAGCAAGCGUCGCCGGGAAUGGCGGCCGGCGGAAUCAGUGGCACAAGGUCGACACUCUCCUUAGGUACUUCUUCCCUCUUGGAAAGAUCCUCAAUUUUUUUUAAUAAGGAUGAGUUGUGGGUCCACCUUAAGGAGCGCCGCCAAGCGGUCCUCACUCGCGCGCGACUCCUCGACUGUGGAGUUGACCCUAGAAGAAGCUGCGUCAUCGGUGGAAGCCAUAACGUCGAGAAAGAUGCUAGCACCUUCUACCACACAAUGAAAAAUAAUAUAAGUAUAUAUGAAAUUCUAGGAUGUAAUCUCAAACCUAAAAGGACAUGUGUGUUGAAUUCUAGGAUACCAACACACAUAUCACUAUUUUGGCGUGUGGGUUGACUUUUAGUCCAGUGAGUCUGCCUUGAAGAACUCUCAGCUCUCAAGUGGCGGUGUAUAUGGUGGACACUCUCUCAUUAAUAUUUUGACCGUCGAUGAUGGUCGCAUCCCCUUCUUCCCCGAGUGCAUUACCAAGGUCUAGCACAAGGAGAAGAAGAGGAUGCGAUCCUCAUGAUAGUAGUCGGGAUCCUUCCCUCAAGAACAUCGGUGAUGGACACUCCCUCAAGAUAUUUUGACCGUCGGUGAUGGUCGCAUCUCCUUCUCCGGGUGUAUUACCAAGGUCUAGCAUAAGGAGAAGAAGAGGAUGUGACCCACACGACAAUAGUUAGGAUCCUUCCCUCAAGAACAUCAAUCUAUCACAUAGGAAGCCUGAUCAGACUAAAAGUCAAUCCUAAGCAUAGAAGGCACGCCUUCAACGACUCAAGAUCAUUUCAACAUAAACCAUAGCCCUUUCCAUACAUAUAUCAUCGGUACUUCCUCCGUUUCUAAAUACAAGUCUUUUUAGAGAUUUCAAUAUGAACUACAUACAGAUAUAUCUAGACAUAUUUUAGAGUGGAGGUAAAAGCACACCAGGUACCCUAACUUGCAUGGAAUGUGAUGUGUUAGUCCCAAACUUGCAAAAUGCACCUUCAUCAUACCCCAACUUGCACUCGAUGUGAUGAUUUAGUCCCCGACCUAUCAUAGCGUGACAAGUGGCAGCCAGGUGGCUGGUUCGGUCAUCGCCCGCACUUUUACAAAAAACACCCUAUAGUUUUUCAUAAUCAACCCGCGCUACAGGAGAGCACCUGCAUUAAUUCUGCCUGAAAUCCACUUCGCGUCCGUUUCGAGGAUAUAGUUGCUGUUCAUUCAAUUAACAUUAGCACGACCAUUCAAUUAACUGAAACUGCACUGCAGAUAGCAUUAGCAUUAGCAUUAACUUCGAUAAUAAGGGUAUGUUUUCAGUCAAAUCCGCAUAUAAGAUUCACGUUGUAGUGCUUAAAAGGGAGGCGAGCAAGCAGGCUGGCCAAAGUUCAGAUAAGAAGGACUAGUUUUCAUCGUUGUUCUCUUCUUUAUGGAAGAUUAGAUGCCCGCCAAAAGUGCACCAUUUUCUGGUGGAGGUUUGCACACAACAGCCACCCAACUUAUAUGACUAUAAAAUAGGAGUGGUGUUGAUCUGGACACUAGAUGCGCAGUCUGCGGGAAAUACUUUGAGGAUGGAGGCCAUUUAUUCUUCAAAUGCAAACUAGCAAAACAACGCUGGAGAGCCCUGCUACUUGAUGAUGUCUGAUCCGAGCUAGUCCAAUUCACCAAUCCAAAACAAGUUCUCCGGACAUUUUUUGAUCUGCCGGAAGAAAAGAAAUUACUGACACUUGCUUGCCUCUGGCAGUGGUGGUCUGAACGGAAUGGGGGAAAUCAUGGAAGGAAAGGAAUGGAGGUUGAUGCGUUUCAGUUUGCUGUGAGACGCCAUGUCAGGGAUUGGAUGGAAUUCUUCGCGUCAAAAACAGUAGCUCACACAUCGACGCAAACUAGAUGGGAGACCCCUCCACAAGACUGUGUUAAGAUCAAUGUAGACGCCUCAUUUAACGCAAGUUUGGGCCAUUGAGGGUGGGGUAUGAUUUGCAGAGAUUCGGAAUCAGACAUUAAGUUCCUGGCAGCAGGAUCUGCUGAUGACGUUUCUGAUGCUCUACAUGCUGAAACCAUAUCCCUCUCACAUGUUGUUCAGCUAGCUGACCAACUGGGCGUGGGGCGGGUAAUUUUUGAGACUGACAGUCUCAACUUGCAACAAGCAGUGACCUCCAACUCUUAUGACUUUGCUCCACUGGGACAAAUGUUUCGAGAUAUCAAGGCCAAACUCAAUUCACAAUUCAUUAGCACAAGUGUAGUCCAUGUCUCGCGUGACUGUAACAUGCUAUCACAUGUACUGGCAGCAAGGGGCGCAUGAUUAGCUAAUGCUGAAAUGCGUUUGUAGUUGGACAAUUUUCCUGCUGAUGUAACCCGUUAUGUAACCAGCAUCUCAGCCGUGUCAUAAAUGGAAUAAGAGUGUUCCAUGUCAAAAAAAAGAGAGAAACAAACCAGUGUUUGAUCAAUAUGCAGGCAGUUAUGUAGUUAAUUUGUUACCAAACGUAAUGCACUACAGAACCGAAAAUGAACACAUAGAUAGUAUAAACUACAUAAGAAUUGGUCAGUGUACUAGACAGAGGACUCGGUAACUAUAAUCUGCAAUACUUUAUCUACCUUAUUAAUGGCUCCUUUGUCACCACCUUUCUCCAAGGCAAUGAUAUCUGGUGUAUCCAGUGUGAUGGUUAUUUGUUUCAUCCCUUGUCUGAGUAGACUGCAGGCAUAUCUGUGAAAAAGAGCAUCUGAUUUUAAGUUCAUAAAAUUGGCCAAAUAUCGCUAUAAGCAUCAAAACAUCUAGGAGAGAUGCUAUACCCGAUGUUGAGGGCGGUCUCCGUCUUGUCGCCCGUCAGCACCCAUAUCUUGAUGCCGGCCUUAGCAAGUUUGUCGAUGCAGUCAGUGAGUUAGGUACCUAGAAAAAGGGAAAUUAGCAUGCGCAAACCAAAGAGAAGUCUUGAACUGUUCCAUUUUACAGCAUGAAAGAAGAUAAGAUUUACUCACCCCCUUUUGCAGCUUGUCCUCAACGGCGGUGGCUCCAAACAGAAUCAAAUCCCUCUCUAUCAAAUCUGUCGCUUCGUCAAUCAGCUCAUCCCGAUCAGCGCUGACAGAAUUCUUAGCUGCUGUGAAGUUCCUUUCGAAUUUAGUGUAUUCGAUCUCCUCAAGUUGACGGUAUGCAAGAACUAGUGUCCUCAGGCCAGCAUCAGCGUAAUCAUUUAUGUGCUUCUGUGUCGCUUCACCAUACGUACUCUGAGAGUUUGACAGCCUCUCGUACAUUAUACUGCACAUUAUACGUACUCUCAAAGUCCCAGUCUUAUCCGUGAGAAUCGUGUAUACUUGGCCCAGCUCCUCGUUCAUUGAAUGGUCGUGCUAAUGUUAAUUGAAUGGACAACAACUAUAUCCUCGGACGCGCAGUGGAUUUCAAGGAGAAUUAAUUCAGGUGCUCUCCUGUAGCUUGGGUUGAUUAGGUAAAACGGCAGGGUGUUUUUUGCAAAAGUGCACACAAUGACUGUCCAGCCACCUGGCUGUCACUUGUCACUCUGUGAUAGGCCGGGGACUAAAUCAUCACAUUCAAUGCAAGUUAGGGUAUGGUGGAGUUGCAUUGUGCAAGUUUGGGACUAAAACAUCACAUCUCAUGCAAGUUAGGGUACCUCGGAUGCUUUUACCUCUUUAGAGUGCAUAUUCAUUCAUUUGCUUUUUAUGUAGUUUUUAUUGGAAUCUCUAAAAAGACGUACUGUGGCUAGGCGAGGAGCAAGACGUACGGUGGGCCCCACGCUGGGCUAGCGACGUACAUACGGUUCCUUGGCUCGGUCGACUUUGACGGUGGCUGACGCACGCAGGGAUGGACAGGGCCGUUGGUGGUGAGCGUGAGAGAGGUGACCCAUGCACCUUGCGCGACGAUGCAUGCAUGCAUGUGGUUUUGGUGAGAGCGAGCGGCGACGCGAGGCAUGCAGUUGCACUGCACUUGAGAUUUGCCGGAGGAAUUUGAUCUCUUUCUCUCUCUCUCUUGGAUCGCCUCAAGGAAGAAGAAGAAGAGAAAAGACAGCUUUUUCGAGGGCAGGAGGGAGGAAGCUUGUCGGCUGCGGCGAACGUGGUCGUUGGCGUCGAGGAAGAAGGCCGGACGGGAUGGGACGGGAGGCGCGCGAAGGAAGGAUGGGACGGGAUGGGACGGGAGGGCGUGCGUUGCGUAUGUGGGGAUUAGUCCUGGCCAUGGGCAGCCCGGCACGAACGGCCCAACCCGAAAAAGCCCGAUCCGGCCCAGCCCGACGCGCUCCCGGGCCGGGCUCGGGCCUAGAUUUUGAGCCCGAAGGCCAGGCCCAUCAUUUUCGCGUUUUUCUAAAGGACAGGUCAGGCCGACCCGAAGCCCGACGGGCUUUUACGUGUCCGGGCCGGGCUUGGGCCCAGAAAACAGGCCCGACGUCCGGGCCGGGCCGGGCUCGGACCUGAGUUUUUUGCGUCGGGCUUGGCUAGAUCCGGCCCGAGGUAUGACCAGGUAUAGUGGGGAUGGAUGAAUGAACUAUGCUUCACUUACGGACAUAUCCCACGAAAAGCAAGUUACGGACUGUGUUUUCCAAAUUCCAAUUAACCAUUGCGGCAUUGCCAAAUCAGUCUGUAACCUGCUUUCCAUGGGAUAUGCCCGCAAGUGAAGGGCAAAAUUGAUAAAUUUAAUCUAUAAAUGGAAUCAAAUCACAGAAUAAACUGCCCGUGAAACUAUUUUACGCGGCUGAUCUUUUUGUAUAACGCCCGACACGAAGGCGCCACACUACACUGUACAACGUCUCAAAGAUAGGCGCUACACGCCUGGCCAGCGUCGCAUCCGUGUGAUCCAAAAAUUACUAAGUCAGUGUGCAGCGCCUGAGAGCUAGGCGCCACACUAUACAUUGCCGCGCCUAGCUUCUAGGGUGGUUGCUUCAUUUUGUAGUGCAACCACUAGUGCAGCGCUUGAGAGCUAGGCGCCCCACUAUACAGUGCAGCGCCUAGCUCUUAGGCUCUGCACAAUGACUUAGCAAUUUUUAGGCAGUCUGGGGUUCAACACUGGCCAGGCGUGUAGCGCCUAUCUAUGAGGCGUUGCAUAGUAUAGUGUGGCGCCUACGUGUCGGGCGUCACACAAAAAAGUCAGCCGCGUGAAAUAGUUUCACGGACAAUUCAUUCUGUGAUUUGAUUUCGUUUAUAGGUUAAAUUUGUCAAAUUUGCCUAAAUGAAGCAUAGUUCUGGAUGGAUUGAUUGAUUUUGAUGAGAGAGGAGAAGAAAAGAGAGACAAUGAAGGUAUAGUGGGCCCCCCUUCCUAACAAACAAAUAAAAUCCCAGCGGAAGGAUCGAUUGACUAUUUCUUCUGGAAUGGAAGGAAAAAAAUGAGGGAUUGGAUUCGUUGGUGGGUUGUAAAAGCAUCUCUAGCAGACUUCGCAUCCCGCUGGUCCGCAAAACACGUCUGCAGUUCACGGAAAAACGGUUUUGCAGGCCGGCGUGGACGGCCGUAGAGGCAGACCCCCAUUUACGGGUCGGCUUUGCAGGGUCUGCUCUUGCGCCGCUGCAUCCCGCAUCCCGCCGGUCCGCAAAUAUCAAUACCACACCAUAAAAAUAAAAAGGAAAAUUAUAUUUUUUUUAUUCCUCAAUUCUUUCGCAAGUAUAAAAUUGGUUCCUCAACUCCAAUAUCAGCAAAGUUUAGUCCCCCAACUCUUAAAAUCGGAUAAAUUUAGUCCUUGCCUCGGUCAAACCCUGUUUAGCUACAUGGUCAAAGCGGUAUUGUGCAAGCACCGGAGGAAGUGUUGCACCCAAGACCAACACUGCAGCCAGGGACGCCCCACGGGUGAGGCAUAUGCCCUGUACUUCUUCUGCAGCGUAGGCACGGGCGCUCCAUCCUAUGAUGGAGACGACGGCGAUUUGUGGUAUGACGACGGCGGCGACGCUCUAGCAUGUGGUAACGGAUGCGAGUUGUGGCACGACGACGACUUCCAACACAGGCACGGCAAAUGGCGACCAAGGGUGCACCAAUGGCAGCAGCGAGUGCUGCGCGGGGAUAGGCAGUUCGGCGGCGGAGAAGCGUCGGCCCCGCAGAAACCCGAGGUGCAGAGGGCGCUGCAUGGCGAUGGUUUGCUCGGCAGCAGACGCACGAGCCAGCGACCCCAGUCCCCAACGACAGUUCGGAGCUCCCGUAGAUGCGACGAGGUGUGAGAGGCUCGCAGCAGCGAGAUUUGUAGAACACGCAAGCGAGCUAUGAGUCGGCUAGCGUGCGGACCAUGUGUUGCUCGCGGCUGUGCGCCUCCAGACCAGCAACAUGUCCGCCAUUGAGCAUCAGUGACGACUGACGAGGAAGAAGCCAGCGAACACAAGCGCCUCCGCAAUGUCUGCAACCGGCGGCCAUCAUCGACGUGUCGAGAGGGCGAGUCGCGGGACCCAGCGCCUGACAUCAACGACCAUCCAAUGCGUGUAGGUCCGGCCGGUGGUGCCGUCAGCGUGUUCCUAGCUGGUGUUGCGUAGUGGGACGACGAAGUGGUGCCGUUGGCGGGAGGGCAGGCGCGCACACAAGUUGUUCGAUCAAAUGCUCACUAAAGAGAGAUGAGAGGAAGAAGAGAUACAAGGAGUAGGAGAGAGAAAUUUUGCCACGUCAGCGAAGACCGGUCAAAACCACGUUGUGUCACCAGUAAUACCGGGUCGGCUGAGACAAGGACUAAACUUAUCCGGUUUAAAGAGUUGAGGGACUAAUUUUUGCCGGUUUUGAAGUUGAAGGACCGAAUCUAAACUUUCAAAAUAAUUGAGGGACAAAAAAAAUACUUUUCCCAAAAUAAAACAAACAUCCACACUACAAAAUAAUUAUUCAAAUCACGGAAGCAAACUAAAUAAUUAUUCAAUACCAGCACAAUACAACAAUCAUUCACAUUACAAAUAAUUAUUCAAAUCACCGAAGCAAACUAAAUAAUGCAAUACAAAAUUUGUCCCGAAUACAAAUACAAAUGAGUAGAAAAAUGAGUUUGUUACUGUCCAGCCUUUUGCCAAUGGUGCUCAAUGAGAUCCUUCUGAAGCUGAAAAUGGGUGUUUGCGUUUUCAAUCUCUUUGUAGGUUUGAAGAAAAGCUCUAAUGUGGUUAGGGUCUCUAGCUAGUUUGACACGGCUACCCACAUAGUCGUAGAAGAACUCCAAGUUCAUUCCUCUCUCAUCUUCGAGAAUCAUAUUGUGAAGGAUAACACAACAUGUCAUGAUAUUUUUCAAGGUCCUCUUGUCCCAAAAACGAGCAGAACCACGAACAUUGGCAAACCUAGAUUGUAAAACCCCGAAUGCUCUUUCAAUGUCUUUUCGGGUAGUUGGUAAAUUGCUCAUAUUUCCAACAUCUUAUGCAUUUAAUAAUAUUUUAGAUGUAAUAUAUAAUUGUAUAGUAUUUAAUACUGUAAUUUGUAGUUGGGGGCCCUUCCCUCUUAGGGCCCGGGGCGGUCACCUCUUUUGCGCAGCCUAUGGGCCAGCCUGGAUGUGCUCAUCCGGCUGAGAAACAUCAGGUCGGCAAGCCUGGCCACAACCACCCAAGCCUUGAUCUGCCGCUUUGGCUGACACUGCUGUGCCGGCCGGGCAAAAACGUGCAAAGCAAAGUGAAAGCCGUGUGGUGCGGUGCGUCGGCUGUCGCGCCUGGGCUGUGAAAUGCGUAGCUGUGCCCGUAAGACACCAUCUCAUGACCGUGAUAUCCCUCAUUGUUUUAUUCCCAAUUGUUGCCCGUGUGAAAAGAAAGAAAGAAAUUGGGCCAUGUUUCCCGAGAGAGACUGCCUUCUCUCAGGCCAGCAGUCUUAUGCUUAUAGUCGACUGCUCUAUGACAAUCUGACCUCUUUCCUGGGCUCUGCUUGCUUGUCUACGCUCCGACCAAUUCAGUCAAAAUCGAAAAAACUAGUAACGUUAGCCGGUUUCCAGUUCGUUACCUGACCGCUCCGCCUUAACGUGAAAAGAUAGGAAAAGUGCCUUUCUUAUUUUUCGGUUCAAGUUCCUUGCACUUGAAAUAGGGUCCUAGCAGAGAAUGGAGAAGGGAAAUAUACUUGAAAUUGUCCGAAUGAGAAAGCCUUUGGCAAACUCCUUGCAAAUCUGUUUUUGCCGGGCACAAUAGACAUAUAUGCUCAGUCACAACAUAAGGAACCCCCAAUGUUCCUCAAAGCCUACCCGGCCUGAGUGUACGACGGAAACAUGACAGGUCCAAACCACCAUAUAUGUACAAGUUUAUUCAUAGCAAAUUCCAAACGUCAAACGGUUCAAACUACUUGUACUUAUGUAUGAUACCACUAUUGAUCUUAUAGAUCGUUGAUACCACCAUCCAAUCUAUGUAUAGUUGAUUGAAUAAACCUAAUGGAGGAUUAGACCGAGGAGAGAGAAGUUUGCACAUUUCGAUCGAUUUGCUCCUUGUGGUUCUUUGCCACUUUUCUUUGUGCUCUUGUGAUAGUCUCGCACAGUGCUUGCUCUCGGCAUUUCCCUCUCCUUUCGCUUUAUAAAAGUAUUUCCUUUUUCCACUUGUCAUAUUUUUCGUAUGCGGAAUUGGGGUGUUUGCAUAGAAUAGAGUUCAGAAAAUGCGAUGACAAUGUAAGAUUAUGUGCGAACUCCCUGCUCCCUCGAUGGGGAGAGGCAUCGAUAUAUAUUGAGACUAUCGGCAGGAGUCUGCCUUGGCGUACAAGGAAGAUAUACAAGAGAUUGAGUAGGAUACGGAGAGAGAGAGAGAUAGGUUGGGAUUACGUAUUUUAUCUAACACCCUCCCUUAAUCUCAACUAUCCUAAAUUAAGAUUACUCUUGAACUCUUCGAAUGGCCUUGCUAAAAGUGCCUUUGUGAAGCCAUCUGCUAUUUGGUCCUUGGAAGGAAUAAACUGUAUCUCAAGUUUCUUUGCUGCAACUCUUUCUCGCACAAAGUGAAAAUCAAUCUCUAUGUGUUUUGUCCUUGCAUGAAACACUGGAUUUGCAGACAAAUAUGUUGCUCCCAAAUUAUCACACCAUAAGCACGAGAUACGAUUUUUCUUAACUCCCAACUCAUCAAGAAGUGACUCAACCCAUAUAAUUUCAGCAGUUGCAUUCGCCAAGGACUUGUACUCUGCUUCUGUGCUUGAACGUGACACAGUGGCUUGCUUUCUAGCACUCCAGGAGAUAAGAUUGGAUCCAAAGAACACUGCAAAACCUCCAGUUGAUCUCCUGUCAUCACUACAUGCUGCCCAGUCAGCAUCAGAGAAUGCACUAACAAGAGAGGAAUUAGACCUUCUGAAGUUAAGUCCUAUUCCCACAGUGUGCUUCACAUAUCUCACAGUUCUCUUGACAACUGCCCAAUGUGCAGAAGUAGGUGCAUGAAGGUAUUGACAAACUUUGUUGACAGCAAAUGAAAUAUCUGGACGUGUGAGAGUUAAAUAUUGCAAUGCUCCCACAGUACUUCUAUACCUUGUGCUUUCCUCCUCUUGAAGUGGCUCACCUUCAUAUGCAGAGAAUUUUUCUGAGGAAGAUAAAGGUGUAAGAACUGGCUUGCAAUUCUUCAUUCCCAUCCGAGACAGAAGCUCAUUGACAUAUUUUUCCUGACUUAGCACAAUGCCAUCUUGAGUCUUCUUGAUUUCAAUGCCUAGAAAGAAAUGUAAAUCACCUAGAUCUUUCAAGGCAAACUCUGAGCCCAAAUCAUGAAAAAAAGCAAUAGUGGCAUUUUGUGAGGAACUUGCAACUAUGAUAUCAUCCACAUAUAUGAGUACAAAAAUGACCACUCCUGCCUUGUUAUAAAUAAACAAGGACGUAUCAGCCUUGGAAGCAAUAAAGCCAAGAUAUUUCAAUUGUAAGCUUAGUCUGGAAUACCAUGCUCUGGGUGCUUGCUUUAAACCAUAAAGUGCUUUAUCAAGCUUGCAAACAUAAUGUGGUAAUUUCUUACUCUCAUACCCAGGUGGCUGUCUCAUAAACACUUCCUCUUCCAGAACACCAUGCAGAAACGCGUUCUGUACAUCUAGCUGCCUUAGGCUCCAUCCUCUGGACACAAUAAUAGCUAGCACAAGUCUGAUAGUUGCAGCUUUCACAACGGGACUGAACGUGUCCUCAUAGUCAAUGCCAUAACGUUGCUUAAAGCCCUUUGCAACUAGACGUGCCUUAUACCUGUCAAUGGAGCCAUCUGCCCUUUUUUGAUCCUGUACACCCAUUUGCAGUCAAUAAUAUUUUUACCUUUCUGAUGUGGUACAAGAUGUCAGGUUUUGUUCCUCAUGAGUGCAGAAUAUUCCUCAUUCAUCGCCUUCUUCCACUUGGGAUCAUCAAGUGCACUGUCCAACGUUGUUGGUUCUCCUGAAAUACAUAGCAUCCCAUAUGGUAUAGUUCCAUCUUUUCUUAUUUUUGGAUUUCGUAUACCUUUUUGUAACCGUGUCAUAACACGUGAAGAAACCUCCGGCUGAACCGCUGGUAAACUUGCCACAGAAGAUCCAGGCGAAUCUGCAUGUGCUGACCCAGACAGAUUUGUCCCGACGUGCGCAGAAGAUCCUGUGGCUGUAGGUGUGGCUGCACCCCCCGCGGACACACGGGUGACACCCAUGCGACCCGAUGCAGCAGAUCCAUCGCCCGACCGCGGCUGGACGCGCGCGCGUGACGAGGGGGAUUCGGUCCCGCCGCUGGACCCGCCUGUCGCGCUUGUCGUUGACGUGGCUGCACGGGAGUGGCCGCCCCUUGAGUCAGGCAUGGAGCCGACUGGAGCGCGAUCCGAGGACGAUCCGCUCGCGUGAUCCGAGGAUUGCACACGCACAGGAGUUCCUGGCGCCGCCCGAUCUCCUUCGUCGUUCGUGCCAGGUUCGUCUUCUUCCUCCACAUGCAAUAAUGGGUCAAAUUGAGCCAUAUUUUCGAAAUUUUGAUCAUUUUGAACACCGUUUUGACCGGGGACCUGCACAGGCAUAAGAGAGGAACAAGUACCAGCAGGAAUAUCAUCACAUUGAUUAGUACAAUUGUUGUCGCCCCCAUGAUCAAAAGACCGUAGAUGUGACGGAAGAAGGAGAAUUUCUUUGCGUAGAAGUGCACCGGCAUUUGGAUGAAGCGAGGCAAAGGGAAAAACUAUCUCAUCAAAGACAACAUCUCUGGAUAUAUAGACCCGACCAGUGGGAACAUCAAGACAUUUGACACCUUUAUGAAUGGGGCUAUAACCUAAAAAGACACACCUUUUUGAGCGGAAAGCGAGUUUUCGUGUGUUGUAGGUUCGAAGAUUUGGCCAACAUGCACAACCAAAGAUUCGAAGAGAUGUGUAGUUGGGUGUGACACCAAGAAGCCGUGUGAUAGGUGUUUCAAAUUUUAUGACUUUACUUGGAAGCAAAUUGAUAAAAUAUGUGGCAGUUCAGAAUGCUUCAUCUCAAAAUUUAAGUGGCAUGGAUGCGUUUGCUAAUAAUGCAAGCCCCAUAUCAACUAUGUGACGGUGCUUUCUUUCAGCAGACCCAUUCUGUUGGUGAGCAUGAGGGCAAGAGACAUGAUGGGAUAUGCCAAGUUUUUGGAAGAAAGAAUUCAAUUUUUCAUACUCACCACCCCAGUCACUUUGCAUAGCAAUGAUUUUGGAGUUCAGUUUGCGUUCAACAAGGUUUUGGAAAUUGAUAAAAACUUGGAAUACAUCAGAUCGUUUCUUUAGUAAAUAAAUCCAAGUAAAUUUACUAUAGUCAUCAAUAAAGCUUACAUAAUAGGAAAAUCUACCAACUGAAGUAGGAGCCGGCCCCCAUACAUCUGAAAAGAUAAGUUGUAGGGGAGCAGUGGACACACUAGUAGAAAUAGGAUAAGGUAAUUGAUGACUUUUUGCUUGUUGACACGGAUCACAAACUGACUCAACACUAGGCUCAUAAGAGAGUUUAUUUUUGCUAAGAACAUGUCUAACUAUGACUGAAGAUGAAUGACCCAAGCGACUAUGCCACCUUGAUGAAGAAAUCUUGGUGACACUAUUUGCUUGUUUAUUUGACCAUGAAGAUGAUGAUGAUGAUGAUGAUGAUAUGAGUGGGUAGAGGCCUCCCACGCAUUGUCCUCUAAGAAUGAUUCUCCUUGUCCUCAAGUCCUUGACCAAGAAAAAAUAAGGGUAGAAUUCUAUAAGGACAUUAUUAUCAAGAGUGAAUCGAUGAACGGAAACAAGAUUUUUGGAUGUUUGAGGAACAUGCAAGACAUUUUUCAGAUGUAAAUUUUUCACGGGGUUUUCAACUAUUAAACUACCAAUGUGUGUGAUAUCCAUACCAGAACCGCUUGCCGUGCGAAUUUGGUCGCCUCCAUUGUAGUUCUCCCGCAUCGUCAAUUUGUCAAGUUCACCUGUGAUGUGGUUUGUUGCUGCACUAUCGGCAUACCAAUUUGUGUCCACGCCAUAGGAGACAGCAUGCGCUUCUUUUUCUUCUGGGUUGUUCUCCUCAUAGCGCCACCAACAGACCCGAGCACCUCCUGGAUGAUGUUUGAAGCAUAUUUGACACUCAGGAUAAUCAUGUUGCUGCUCACGCACCUGCUGCUGUUGUUGCUGCUGUCGAGGGCGCCCUCUGAAGCCGCUGCCUCCAUUGGAAGACGAGGGCUGGCGGUAACCGCGGCCACGCCCCCUUCCUCCUCGCCCGCGGUAUCUGCCGCGAGACUGUCCACGGCCCCUGUAGACCGCAUUAGCAGAUGAGUGGAACCCGCCUGAAGCUGAGUCGCCUAGCAUCUCCAUCCUUUGAUCAAAGGCGGAGAUCUGAGCAAAAAGAUCAUCGGCGGUGAUGGUGUUCUUGACAGCGCCGAUCGCCACCACCACGGAGUCGUAGUCGCGGUCUAGUCUGGCCAAGAUGUAGUCCACCAUCUCCGGAUCAGAGACGGGACAGCCGGCAGCAGCUAGUUCAUCGCUGAGGCUUUUCAUCUUCGCCAUAUACGCCGAGCUUGACAUGCUGCCCUUCUUUGUGUUGGUGAUGGCAAUUCUCAGAUUGGUGAUCCGAGAUUACGACUGCGAGGCGAAGAGGUUUGUCACCGUCGUCCAGAGUUCAAAAGUGGAGUCCUUCCCGACGACCUGCGCAAGGAUCUCCGGCGACAUGGAAUUCAGAAGAUAAGACAGGACCUGCUGGUCUUUGGCGAUCCAAGGCCCAUACAUAGGGUUCGGCUCUAGGGUCGUGGUUUUGUCCGCCUUCGUGACCUCCACCAUCCUGGGCAGAGCGGCGUUUGUGUUGUCGAGGAGUCCAGUCACCUGCGCACCUCGCAGGGCUAGAAGCACCUGAGUCUUCCAGAGGAUGAAGUUUCCUCUUGCGAGCCUCUCAGAUGGCGGCGAACCGAGGUUAAGGGCGACGCCGGCAGAGGAAGCCAUGGAGACGAUAGUAUGUGAAUUCUAGGGUUUUGGUUUGUGGCUAGAUGUAUGGAAAGAGGUGGCUCUGAUGACCAUGUAAGAUUAUGUGCGAACUCCCUGCUCCCUCGAUGGGGAGAGGCAUCAAUAUAUAUUGAGACUAUCGGCAGGAGUCUGCCUUGGCGUACAAGGAAGAUAUACAAGAGAUUGAGUAGGAUACGGAGAGAGAGAGAUAGAUAUAGGUUGGGAUUAGGUAUUUUCUCUAACAGACAAGACCUGAGCUGGCAGUCAAAUCUUCAGUUAUGAGCCAAGAGCCCAAGAGACUGAAUGUAUCUUAACUUUUAAUCCGGAAAUCUGUUUUGGCUCUCAGGUCUAAAUACUCCUAAAAUCUGGACCACCAGCUCUCACUUUGAUAGGACAAUUGAAUGAAAAUCCUUUAUGCACAUGGUUAGAUUUCUUGUGCUGAAAUCAGCCCACUAGGAUUCAAGUCUUAGACUUGGCACGUGUGGUCGCAUAUUUUCAAGAUUUUCGGUGCUAUUUAUUCACUUGUAUGACGUGCCCGUCGACUUCGUCAAUAACAAGAUCGCGUCGGCUCAAUUCUUAAAGGUGCUCAUAGGGUAGGGUGUUCAUGUGUGCUUUUAUAGCGUGUGAGUGUGUUUCAUGUUGUGGGUGCAUGCAACGUGUUUUUAUCCUUAAAAAAGAAUUAAUAAAUGAAAAGAGAGGUGUUUAGAGUAACAUAAGGCUGGUUUCAAUGCAUGAGUGCUUAGAAGAGAUGCUAAGCAUAUUAAAGGGCUUAGCAACCAAAAUCCCCAAUGCAUAGGUUCUUAGCUUCUUGUAGCUAAGCACUCUUCAUUUAAUUAGUCCUGAGAUCUUAGUAGUAUGUAAACUUUGUGGCCUUUUUGUGGCAUGUUCGUAGCUACUAAAAUCGCCUCGGCAAAUACGUAACAAACGAGACAACAAUUUUGCGAAUCAGUUCCAUCAAACCCAAAAUGAAAAACAGUAGUGGUGGUGGCAAUUUGUUUGGACCCUGAUACUCUGCAUGAGUGCUUGAGUAAAAUAAAAUCAUGGUAAUUUUGAAAUUGCUUCAGUUGCCUAAAAUAAAAUCAACUAGUAGUACUUUCUGUAACCUAGUUAGAUAGUCGAUGUGCAAAACAAAUCAUGGACUGUAGUUUAGCAAGAACCUGGGACCAGGGCAUAUGGUUCAGAUCACAUAAUAUUUAUAUAAGAGUCUCUACUAUUCAUAGUUCAGACUAUCAUCAAUUUACCUAUGGUUCAGAUUACAUCUUUACCUACUAAUAAAGCAACUAUCGCUUCUGGUCGUCCGUCAUUAAAAUUACCCUUCAAGUUACUAAAAAUUACCCACCAAUGCCAUCCAUAAAUGGGAAAAUGAUUCAUUUUUUAUUUCUUAACUCGCCACCGAUAGCUCUUGGUUCAUCUAAGGAAAGGCCCUUACAAAACACAAGCCAACAAACCAGCCUACUGGCCCGGGUGUUUCUCCACCAUCCAGGAGACCUCGGUUUGAAACCUGGUCAUCCUCAUUUUUGUAGUUAUUUUUCGCGAAUUUCAGUUGGCGUAGUAUAGAGCUAUUUCGCCAAGUGUUGCUUAACAGAUGGUCUACAAGGUAUAAUACGGUCAAAAUAUUUUCUUUUAAUUCUUUCUUUGCAGAUUCAAGUAUUUUUUAAAUAUUUAUAUCUUUCAAACCCCAACUCCAAAUUUAGCAUGCUAGAUAUGAAAAUCGCCCACAAAAUUUUGUAGAUUCUAAAUAUAAUGUUAUCUUCCAUGUUAAUUAUUUUUAAAAUUAUUUUUAUGUUGCACCCUUAAUUAGUACUUUCCUUUUUUUAUUAAAGACACGAAUGUUUCUUACUCCCUUUUUUUAUACGUCCCUUAUUACCAGAUUUUCAUCCAUCAUUUGUUCGUCCAUUUGCACAUAAAAUAAAAAAUAAAAUAAAAUAUGUUCACAAUUUUAAAAACUGUUUGCAAAUAGUAUAAAAUGUUUAUGAAUUCAAAAUAUAUUUUUAAUUUUAGAAAAUGUUCAAAAUUUGAAAAAGUGUUCACAAAUUUUAAAAAUGGUCAUGAUUUCAAAUAUGUGCACGAGUUUUAAAAAAUGAUCAUGAUUUCACGAAAUUGAGAGUGAUAGUGUAUCUCGAUGACGCAACAAAAUGUGGCCAUGGCCAUUGAAGAUUAUUAAAAAAAAUCUUCCGUUGCAACGCACGGGCUCUUUUGCUAGUACUAUUCAAUCUAUAAAUUACAUAUAAUUCAGUAUGAGAGAAAAAGUUGCAGACAAAAAUCUCAUCUAAGCAUGGAUUGGGAGGGAGCAAGCACGAGAUGAAGUUGAAUACAGAAGACAGAUUUUGAAACAAACUAACAGCUCGAUUUUGGGGGAAAGGCUUAGAUUUACCAUUGAGCAGCUAUCUCCCGCCGCUGGUCCAUGCAGGCUGGAGGGUCGGCCGGGGCUGGGCUUCCACAACCAGACGGGAUGGCUGCUGCUGUACUGGGGCGGAGGCGCAGGGCGACGACGGAGUGGCCGUUCCGCUGGGGGCGACGGCGCAGGGCGACGACGGAGUAGUCGUCCGCUAGGUGCGGCGGGGCGGGGCGAGGACGGAGUGGCUGUUGCGCUGGGAGCAGCGGCGCAUGGCGACGGAGAAGAUGAGAUGAAGGUCACUGGGACGAAAGGGGAAAAGGAGAAAGAUGGAACGGCUCGGCGCUGCAUACGGAAUCCGAUUAAGUGCGUUUCUGCCUACGUGCGCUUGGUGGGGUCGGGCUCUCCUGCAGGGUUCCCAGCAUGCACUAUCGUGCAGGGCCAACAGGCGUCCGACACCUGUUCUGGUAGGCCCCAUCACUUAAUAAGAUGUUUUCCUUUUUUUAUAAUUUAUUGAAAACAAUUUUUCUUUGCCUUAUCCGUGCGUACCGCUGCUGUCACUCCCUCUUCCACAGCCACUCAUUUCACUGUGAGGGACGAUUCCGACCAGGAGAAAUCUACCGUUCAGGUCCGUCGCCGGCGGCAAGACCGGAGCUGUAUAGCGCCGUCCAUCUCUGACGCGCUUCGCCGCCCAGAGCUGUCACGGCUAGCGCCACCCGUCUCCGGCGCGCUUCGCCGCCAUGAGCCGCGGGGUUCGAAGGCAGUAAGACAGAAAUCGCCGCCGCUCGCCUCCGGCACGCUGCGCGUGGCCUGGGGUCGUUGUAUUGGCUGGAGGCAAGAUGGGAUCCAUCACGGCUAGCUCUGUUCGCCUAAGGCGCGCUGCGCCACGCCUGGCCGUGGACUUGGCCGGCGGCAAGACGGGGGCCAUCGCGGCUAGUGUCGCUCGCCUCCGGCACACCCAAGGCCAGCCCAAGGUUGUGGCUGACCCGCUCCCUGUGAGGUGGUGGCACGGUGGAACUGCAGCGCGUGCAGCCGGUGGCUGAGAUUCCGUGGGAGUUUGCGUGAUCACAGUGGAAGAUGCUAACUCGAUGCAAACUCAACAGGCAAAGGUGAGAGAUGAUUCGCUACUUCAUCUACCUUUGUGCUAGUACCUAAUUAGCUCUCGGCUAUAUACGUACGUAAGCUAUUACUGGUAGCAAUGUACUAGCUCUGUACUAGUAGCUAGCUAUGUAGUGAACUCUGAAGUAUGCAAGCUAUCUACUUUGCUCUGCUUUUCAGUCAUACAGUACAGGGGAAAUCACAAAUUGGUGAAAGCACCUUUUAAUGAAUUUAGUGCCUAUAAGCAGGGGCGGCGCUAGGGGUAUUCUUGGGUCUUUAUGUGAAUACCCAUGAUUUUUACAAAACAAUGUUGAUUUUGGUAAAACAGUGACAAUUUUAGAAAAAACAAUAAUUUUGGUAAAAUAAAUACACAUGAAUACCCGGUUGCAAAUUCCGGGAGCCGCCACUGCCUAUAAGAACACAUUUAACUGGAAAACUAAACCUCAAUUACACGUCUAACAUAUCAUAAGGAAUAACCAACAACUAAUCCAUAUUCAUGUAUAUAUUUUUUGAGCAUAAAACCGUUGUGCAUCUAACAUUAAAAGGAACGGUAAGAUAAAUUAUUACAUCUCAAGGGAACUGUCUUGUAGAGCAAUCCUGAGAUACGAAGUUUACAUAGAGCUAUUUAAAAGUGUUUAUCUUGUAUGUGACUUGAUUGGCUACCCAAGACCUGGAAGAACAAAGAAAUAAUUUCUUAUGACAUAUAAACUUCAAUUGGGAAUAUGACUUGUAAGUGAACAAUGCCUGAAUUGGCAGCUGGUCAUUUUUUAGAUGUUGGCCAUCCCGAGUCCGAUAACAUUUGGGAGCUCUACAUACAAUGUUGAUUCAAAAGUCAAUACAAGGGAAUGACAUGUGCAUGUUCAUUUUAAUUUAUAGCGAUUAACUAAUAAAAUUCUACCUGACUUGGUUGAGUGCUAGUUGGCGGCUGGUGAUUAUGAGAUGUUGGCCAUCCCGAGUCCGAUGACACCACAGAAGUCUACAUGUAGUGUUAAUCAAAAAGUAAAUGACCCGUGCAUACCCGUCUUAAUUUUAACAACUAACUAAAUAAAUAUACCUGACUCGGUUGAAUGCUACGAUAGAAAUAUGGUUGUUGUGGUCGCAAGCCAAGUAACUGUUGAAAACUAGUAGUGCCUACCUGCGAUAGUGGAGCAGGCAAGCCAUGAUGUAAUACUUGCAAAUUAUAGGUAUUGAAGAAUUUUCAUCUGCUUGUCCUGUAGGUAUUGAAGAAUGGCACCUGUGUCUCCUUGGAUUGACUGCAUACGCUUUGAUCGGAGAUAAUUUUUAUAAUCCUUUUGACCAAAGCUAAGACAUCGUCUACCCCCUACUUGUCUACUCAUCACUUCAUGACCAGAUUUUGGUCUAAUACCUGAAUCGUUCAAUAUGUCAAUCUGGGCCUUCUGAGCUUCUGUAAUUCUUCUUUGGGAUCGCAGUAGAUGGGCUUUGCUUGGAGUUACAAGUUCAUGAUUAUGAGCAUCCUCAAAGCUGCUUACAACAUACUUUCCAUUACCACUUAUUUUGAUGGUCAUCUCUGCCAUACACCCAACUCUUGUAUCUGCUCGCUUCCGCUGGCAUUGUUCCUUGCUCUUGUCCUUGAAACCUGCCUUUGAGCAUACAAAUUUCUUUGUUCGAAUAACAUUCGUUGAGGAUUUAUCAUGCCAAAAUUUCCUGACACUGAAACCAACAUGUCCUGCAUAUGCAUUAUAAAACUCAUAUGCUAUAUCUUCAUUCUCAAAUUCCAUUCCUAUCUCUGGUUUUAACCUUUUGCUGUAAUCAUCAUCUGUGUUUCGACCUGCCUCUCCCACAUCUGUGGUGUCAUGAUCUACACAACAUAAAAAAUAUAAUAUACUAAUUAGUUCACGGGCGACACAUGGAGUAAAAGAUAACACGAUAUUCACAGUCCUGGUUUUAGUGAAACCUGAAAAGCGCUUAUAGAUAGAACAAUGCUUUUUGGAAAAGGACACAUGGUAUUCACGGGGCAUUCGAAAAAUAUUGAUCUUUUUCUUUGAUACAGUCAUCUCUAUCAUUAGAGUUAGCAAAAAGAGAAUAUGUCAAAGGAGAAAUCUCAGGCAGUAAAAUUUAUAAUAAACUUAGGUGGUACUCUGAUGCAUAAUGUACGCAACAUCGUAGGAGUAAUCAUCACUAACGGAAUUAUAAUGCAAUUCCGAAGGAUUAAUUUGCAUGUGUUUCAAAGAAACAGGGCUACGGAAGAUGAAAUACUGGGAGUAAUUUGCAUGUCAUACAUUCAACUCUUUGUUUAUUUGUUUCUUUCAAUCUUAUCAGCUUCGUAUGAUCAAGAGUGUUGACAAUCUGUACAUUCCAGGCGCAAGAACAUACCUAAGGACGAUGAAUUGGCAGGAGCUCCGUCCAUGCUGAAGAACACCGUAGAUGUUGAUCCACGGAGAGGACAAUUUCCUAUCAAUCUUGAUCUAUUCUCCUUUGAUCCGGGGGCAACAACAAUGGAAUAGAUUGGUACGAGAAAGGACGGAUGAAGCCAUGAAGAGAUUUUGGCGGCAAUCUGUUGUUACGCGGGAGAUAAACCUGUCGUUUUGCUGAUUUUCUGGAACUUAACUACAAUUAUAGAGAUACGCUGGGUUGUUUAAGUGGUGGGGCCCUACCAGGACAGGUGUCGGACAUCCGUUGGCCCUGCACGAUAGUGCGUACUGGGAACCCUGCAGGAGAGCCCGACCCCGCUUGGUGCCGUUUCUUCGUGGGGUUACCGGUUUCUUCUCUCUCCUCUUUAACUAAGACGCCACGUCAGAUUUUGGCUUACGUGGACGGCUAAGCACCGAUACAGACUGGAGCGUUGGGAGGGGCCUAAUAUGUUACUGUAACAUAGCGCUUACCGAGAAAUGACUAGUCUACAAACUAAUAAAUGAAGUCAUCCAUAACACUACUACUAUAUUACUUUACAUUAUAAAGAUAGUAACUUAGACUAAUGUCAUAUGCAUGAUAUUAGUAUAAGUUACUCCCUCCUGUGACCAGCCUGAUGCCUUGGACUAAGAGUGCUGCUACGUACUACGGCUGGGUUCGUCACCGUACCACUGAUUGGCUGCUAAACAUACCAGCAGCAUGGCCUUGUCACGUCGUCUCUCAUGCUCAUAUCAAUCAUCCAUGCAAGCACCACUGUUUAGCAGCUCCACAGCUCGUUAUUCCUCUAUCUUUUCGGCCAUGGAUGCUCGAUGUUCGUCGACCACUCAAGGGCCGACUGGGCACGCAAUCAUCACGUUAAGUAGAGCAGUGCUACCAGUACUCAUUAUAUUCCCCCAUAGCUUAAUGGGCAGCAACGCCAUAGCCUUUGACGUUUUUAUUUAGAAACGACAUGGCCCUUGGCGUUUUGAGCCUGUCACAUCAGUGACGUCAGUGUGGUCAGGGCAGCAACGCUGGCUGGUUUGGCGUUUUGAUGGUCAUUAGCAACGCCACGGUUUGUGAUGUUGCGAAAAGGAUCAGAUUACGAAAUACUUUCGUGAAGAGUUUAUUUUGUGUUAUAAUUUUUUAACAAGGUCAGAAUAGUGAUUUCAUCCUAUUUUUGUCUGUGUAAGUAUGUUUGUGCACUUCUAGUUAUGCUGACGAUGGUUUCACUCAGUGCGGUUGUAUCACUUUGAUAUGACAAUUGAAUGAAAAUUCUUUAUGUACAUGGUUAGAUUUCUUGUGGUGAAAUCAGCACACCAGGAUUCAAGUUUGAGACUUGGCACAUGUGGUCGCAUAUUUUCAAGGUUUUCGGCACUAUUCAUUCACUUGUAUGACAUGUUCAUCGGCUUCGAGAUGUCUGUGUCGACUUCGUCAAUAACAAGAUCGUGUCGGCUCAAUUUCUUGAAGGUGCUUAUAGGGAUAGUGUGUUCAUGUGCGCUUUCAUAGCGGAUGAGUGUGUUGCAUGUUGUGGAUGCAUGCGUUUGUACGGUACUUCUAAAAAAUGUGUUUUUAUCCGCAAAGAAAACUGGUUCCCCCCUUGAAAAAAGAACUAGAACAGCUGAAUUACAAACAGUGGUAUGGUCAAGAAUCAAGAUAAGCUUACCUAGUGCGAGAACAAUGUACGAUCAGCUGAUCUCAUGUGCCAUGCAUGUUGGCACAAACUGAACUAUCGGUUAGUGACCAAUCACAAUAGCUAAAUGCCUAAAUAUACUUGUCGAUGGUGAUUACAAGAGAAAUGCUGCAAGCAGGACAACCACCCCCACCGGAAAAGACAUCUGCAUCUGCAACAGCAAACAGACGGAAAGAAAAUUGUGAGCUUAGAAACAGCGACAGAACCAAGGUCACGGUGAUGUACCUACAGUUCUUCUCAACAGCUCAAAGUACUUGCAGUUUUUCCACCUUGUUAGGUUUUGUAAAGUUUUCUUUUUCGACAUCAAUGUAGUUGAGAAAAUAAUGUCUUUUUGGAACAGUUUUAGUCCCGAUCGAUUUGCAAGUGAAAUUUGCAUUCAAGCGUAAGUAAGAUAAUCGGUCCAGAGCUUUCAUACUUACCGUCGGCUUGGAAGAAGAGGAAAACCCCGAUGCCCUCGGCGACGGGCUGAACGACGCCGCGUCGAACCCGAGGUCGUACACCGACGUGCCGUUGGGGUAGAACAGCCCGUAGUUCCUCUCGGACGCCUGCCCGUUCUUCAUGUUCUCGUUGAACAGGGCGAAGACGAGCACGUCCACGGGCACGUCCGGCCUCAGCGGCGUCCCCUGGCCCGCCGCGACCCUCUUCAUGAGGUUCCCGUUGUACGUGGCGGCGUUCUGCACGGUGGCGCCCACCUCGUCGGCGUCCCCGGCGGACGGCCACCCGGUCUCGGAGAUCCUCACGGCGAUGUCCUUGUGCCCCAUGGCCUCCAUGGCCGCGUACACGGCGUCGAUCUGGGCGUAGAGCAUGUUGUCGUAGGUGAGGUUGGUGCCGGGGUCGUGCGCACCGGGGUUGGGCUCGAACAGCACAUACGGCAGCGACACGCUCCCGGGGCUGGCCUUGUAGGCGAAGAACGGGUACGCGUUGAUCAGGAACGGCGAGCCGACCUCGGCGAGGAAGUCCAGCAGCGGCCGCAUGUACUGCACGACCUCCUCCCGGAACGCGCCGGCCGACGGCGGGUAGCUGCUGGCGAGCACGUUGACGGACUGGGACGUCGACACGUUCACCUGGCCGUCGAGGCCCAGGUCCACCAGCGCCUGGUGCACGGCCUGCAUGGCGGGGAGGAGGCUCUGCAUGGCGGCCGCGUCUGUGCCGGAGAGCACCUCGUUGCCGAGGAUGACGCAGGUGAUGCGGGUGUCCGGGAGGAAGGGCUGGACGUUCUGCGCCACCCAUGCGCGCGCGUUGCCGGCGUCGGACAUGUUGAGGAGGUCCCCGUUGCUGAUGGUGAACUCGACGCCUGUGCCGGCGAAGGCCGUGAGGACGGCCGGGUCGGCGUCAUAGAGCUUGACCCUAUUGGCGUUGAGCGACCGGAUGAGGCCGGACACCUGCGCCGGGUGCGGGAGGUUGUUCGCUAUCUGGCCGUAGUUGAUGCCGAACUUGAGUGGCGCAUUCGCCGCCGAUACAAUGCCAUUGUUGGCUGCCGUCAGCGUAGGUGCGGCGACACGUCCAAAAGAGAAGGUCAGUAUGAUUGGCAAGAAAACAUCCACUGAUGACAACAUAAAAAAAGUUAUAUAAAAAACUGAAACAAGUUCCGUUGUCAUGUAAACUGGCUCGUAACAAUGCUUUCGGCUAAGAGGUCGUACUCGACCAAACACACAAAAAUAGCGAUGCACGCAACACAAUUUGAUGAAAAAUAUUAAACGGAGUGUCAAUAUCGAUACAAUGUGCAUGCUUUCAACAGAAGGGUCACAAGGAUGAUGUGGAAAAUUUAUCGUUUGCACAGGACAACGUGGAAAACUCGCCGUCUUCCCUAUCAAAGACACAUUGGACAGCCGACCUCAAAGAAGAAGUGAAGAACUAUCGCUAGCCACAAUUCAUUUUGAAUAAUACCAAGACAGCUGUUUUGCAUGAUACGGUAUAUACGGUCAACGUGUCUCAUUUUCUCCAUGCUCUUGCUCGCAAAUUUGUACUACAGCAGCGUCAGUUAAUUUGGAUCGGAUGAAGUAUGUUUUCCGCAUCAAUGUUCAAAACUGGAAACACAAAAUUUUGAGAAACAGCUUUCAAGGGCUUAAGCGUACCGAAAGAAAAAAAAACAGAAGCACAACUAAAAAAACAGAAGCUACCAUGCAAUCACAUGCAGUUAAUCACGCGCGAAAGAUGGAAGGGAAGCGAGAGACGGAGGCAUCGCCGGCCGUACCUGAGAGGAGCGAGAGCAGGAGGCAGAGCAGAAGCGAGGAAGAAGACGGGUCGAAGAAUAAGAAGCGACGGGCGGCAGCGAUCAUCCUCCUCUCCAUUGGCGCGUCGUCCCUUGCUCGCAUCUCUUUCUCUCCUUCGUGUCCGCUCUGUCCUUCAGAGCGACACGGAAGGAAGAAGGGAAGGAAGGCCUCCGGCCGCCCCCGUUUCCCCGCGCGUUUAUAUGGGAGCAGUUGCAGGCUCGGGGCGGCAGGUCAGAUUACGCACGCGACGUACUAUCCUCCUGCAAGCGCUAGCUUCCAAAGUCCAAAUCGCGAUAGGCCAACGAAACAUCCGUCUCUCAGACGGCCACUCCUUCCCAAACGACUACUAGCCAGACAAGGUAAGGUUAUAGACGGGCAAAAUCCAGUUUUUCUCUUUCAAAACAAAUAUGCUCCAAGUGAUGUCUGAAUAUUUUUGAAGUGCAGAAACUCCCCUAACUUAUGUGAGAACCGCCGUUCGUGCUGCGGCCGCUCGUCGAUCGCACGGCAGCCUCGCUGGAGCUGGCGACAGAAACAAGUCGGCCGGUGAAAGUCGCUGAACAGUAUUAAAACUUGCGCGUCAGCACGUCACACCAGGUAGGGGGCUGGGAGCUUCAUGGCCCCAGAAGGUAGGAGAGAUCGGUCGUCAAUGAGACUACAGUUUUGGAUGGAACCAAACCGACCUAACUAUCUUUUCAUAUUGAGUUUGAUCACUUGCCUCUUGCAGAAAGUUCAGAGCCGGACCUUGGAUGAGAACUCUAUUCUCGUCUUAUUUAAUGAAUGAGGCAAAUUUUUUGCCUCCGUUUCGAAAAAAAAGAAGAACACCAUACAUGGAAAGGUUCAUUGAAUUCCUUCGUUGGCGAAGGAAUUUCUGAGUUUGAUUUGUUUUCUAAAAAUUUGAUUUGAGGAGACAAAAUUGGAGUGCCCUUGAUGCUCUCAAUGUUUUUUUAAUCUUUAAUAACCAUGCCAUUUUAUGCUACAUAAGAGGAAAAAACUCUACUAGCUUGAUUGGGACAACUCCAACGUGGUUGCUCGGGCCGGUCGGCAUUGAGCAGUCCCACUGUUCGGUGAUGAGUGCAUCUUGCAUCAUAUUUUACUUAUUGGUUUUGCCUUAUAGACGUAUAAUUUUCAUGGACUUUAAUAGUGAGCCUAUCAAGUGUCCCGCUGUCAGGGACAUGUGCACGAAGACUUCCAGACUGUCAUCGACAAUGUCAAGUCGGCUCCGGUAAGGGAGUGACGACAGCGGCACAUCGGCGGCUCGUUCUGGUGGUAGUAGUGGUCGUCUGAGAUCAUCUCUGAAAGUGAUCCAACAGUGGAAUCGAUAGAAGGGCAUCCAACUCGCCAUUGCUUCGAUCACGAGGCCACGACACCGACAUCCAUCCUCAUGUCACCAUCCACGCUCAUCAUCGACUCUUCCAUCAACAUCACUGUAAUCCAAAAACCUAUUGUGGAUUCAUACAUGUAUCACUAUAAAUUGUUCAUCUGCUAUUAAUAUGAACACCUUGAUGAUGUCUAGUGUCCCCAUGCCUGAGUAGUUUUUUAGUUCUCGGUGAUAUUGAGGAACCCUAGUAUUUCUAUGAACAGAAUGCAAUAAGAUAUUUGAUCUAUGCAAUAUGGUUAUGGCAAUGUUCUUCAUGGUAUUUUUUUUUCUUCUCUUUUUAUUUUUUAUUUUAUUUUUUCACAUGCUAAUUCAUGAAUAUUUAUUAAAGUUUCAACCAUUUUAAAAUACUAUGUUUUUUUGGAAAUCAUGAAUUUUUUCUGAAUCCAGGAUAUUUGUAAAAUUUAUUAAUAUUUAAAAUUAAUGAAGAUUUUUAAAAAUCUAUGAACAUUUUUUAAUAAAAAAUAUAAUUCACAAACAUUAUUUGAAAUCCAUGAACAUAUUUUAAAUUCAUGAGCAUUUUUUUCAAAAUUCGUGUUUUCACAUCAUUUUUUAAAAUUCAGGAGUUAUUAAAAUACAUGAACUCUUUUAAUUUAAUGAACUUCUUUAAUAUUUACGACAAUAAAACUGAACCUAAACGCAACCCUCUCACGCUAGCCGUCUGAUCUCCUGGUUGGCCGUCCUAGACCAUCAGAUCUGAGUGCACUUCCGCAUGGGCCGAAUGUCCUAUAGGGCCGCUACUCCUGGAGAAAAAUCUGAGCCGUCUGGUUAACUAGGCCUUUUUCUCCCAGUCCAAUUAGCAAAUCUGCAUAUUUUUUUCCUGGUUGACUGGACUAUUCUGGGCCAUCCGACGGUGAGAACAGACUGCCUUGGGAUGCAUCUGUUGAUCGGGCUUUUUUAUGGGCUUCUGUUGAUCGGGCUUAAUGGGCUGUUUUAGACCCUUGCGAAUUGUGUUCAGUUACCUGUGUCAAAUGUUGAUCCUCAAAAAAAAAACCUCUGUCAAAUGUCAUACUGGGCAUUCCGUUGUGUACGAUGAAUGUUGAAGAUUUCUGGAGUUGGAGCCAGAAAAAGAAUGGGGUAUUCUCAGUCAAAUCCGCUUACCGUAUGCUUGUAAGCACACGCCAGAGAAGAGAGGCUUGGCUCAAAAAUAGGCUCGGUCCUUCCAGCUCAAAUACAAAAGAAGGGGAGUGGAAAAGAUUAUGGAAGACAGAAGUGCCAGGGAAGGUCCGAAUGUUCCUAUGGAGAUUAUCUAAGCAGUCCAUUCCGACAAAUGAUGUAAGAGCACACAGACAUAUGGCGACAUCUAGCGCGUGUGGUAUCUGCGGCUCCCCAGAUUCAUGGAGACAUAUAUUCAUUACUAGAAUGCACCAUGUCAAGGUGCACCUGGGCCCUUGUGGAUGAGGAAUUGGCGCAAAACUUAGCAACCAUCACUGAACCGAAAGCUAAACAGUGGCUAUUCACUCUCAUGAGCACGUUAUCACAUGAUCUAUUUGUGAAGCUCUCAGUUACCUUAUGGGCCAUCUGGGCAGCGAAAAGGAAAGCUAUUCAUGAGGGUUUUCCAGAGUCCUCAAACCAUCAACGGUUUUAUCAAUAGAUACCUGCAAGAACUAAAGAUGAUAGCUGAGCCUGCUCGGCCCCAGAACGAGCAGCGAUAUGCACGCCACGCGCCCAAAAGCGCCUCCCCCCGGGCAUGUAAAAAUCCACGUCGAUGCAGCAUGUCGCAAGGGACUGGGGGGUGCUUCGGCUGCUAGAUGCUAAUGGUAAUUUCCUGGGUAGUUCAGCUCUUGUGAUCCAAGGAGUGGAUGAUCCUGAUAUUCUUGAAACGAUAGCAUGCAGGAAGGCAGUGGCUUUGGCGCAAGAUCUUAACGCUCUCAACUUUGUCGUGGCUUCCGACUCGAAGGGCAUUGUUGGGGCUAUCAACAACAGCAGCAGAGGAGCUAAUGGCGCCAUCGUCAUGGAGAUCAACAGUAUAGCUAGUACCCUAAACUGUAAAUUUACUUUUGAAGAUCGUGUAGCCAAUGUCGAUGCACAUAGAUUAGCCAAGUUUGCUUUCUCUUUAGGUCCUGGUCGGCACAUUUGGUUGAGCCAACCCCACGACCAGAGAUGUAUCCCACAAACUGUGGAUUUUGCUGAAUAAAAACUUAGUUUUCCCCUUAAAAAAAGCUAUCUCUGUCAAAAAUUUCUAAAACAAAUAACCCCUGUCAAAUAAAAUGUUUUCUUAAGAAAAAACAAAUAGCAGCAAGUACCCUUGCUCUCUCCGGCUUCAGGUUACGCGCUCCUGACCGUUGGUCUUUGUUUGUUCUGCAUCAACGGACGUUGUUCCAUUUAUUUAGAGCUUACAAAAAAUUGGGAGCAGCAACAAUCAUCCGCUCCUCCCUUCUGAGUUUCCGGUCUCUUGUACUCCCUCCGUUUCAAAAUAAGUUCUCAACUUUAUACUUCCUCCGUCCCACAAUGUAAGACGGUUUUUGACACUACACUAAUAUCAAAAAAUAUCCUACAUUAUGGAACAGAGGGAGUACUAAUUUUAACACAAAGUUAUACUAGAGUUGACAUACUUAUUUUGAAGUUAUACUAGAGUUGAGAUACUUAUUUUGGUCGGAGAGAGUCUAAGAUAGUCCAUGACCCCCCAAAAAAAAGAUAAUCCAUGCUGUUUUGUUUCUUUUUUCUUUUCCAAAAAGGAGGUUGGAACCCCGCCUCUGCACCAAUUAAUGCACACGUCAUUUUAUAAAAAUACCAUAGCCAAUUUUGUCUGAGCCAGCAGUGAAGCAAGCAAAAAAAAAAAAGCUAAGCGAGUGAGUGGGGAGGCUGUUGAGCUGAGAAGCGAGAGCUUCAUGUGCCGACCAUGGUUUCAUGGUUUCAACGUGAAAUAAGAGCUCCCAAGUGGCUCACAUAAUCAAUAACGACUCACAUCAAGGCCGAACACAUGUAAGGAAUCCACAACCAUGCACCUAAUUACUCCACUCUUCUCUCAGAAGCCCAGCUUGAUAUACGAAUGAAAAGAAGACAUCGUCAAAACAUAAUAAAACCCAAGCUAGCAUAGAUAAACCAAAAUGUAACAACCAACAAAAUAACCUGCUAGAGAAAAAAGAGUUGAUCCCAUGAAUGAGGAACGGCGUGACAAAGCACGAGUUAGCCUCUAGUAUAAAUUAUGUGAGCUGGAUUACUGGAAGGAACCUUCAUCAAACCGUUUCAGUUAAUAGUAGUUUAUACUGAAAGAUAGAGCAUGAGCAGAGCCACCUUAGCCUGAAUCACUGUGUUAACUGAACUGACCAACCUGACUUGGAAAGUCAGAAUUGGCAAAGACAAGCUAAAGAACAAUGAGGUGGGGCAGAGGCCAGAGAAAGGCUAAUAAAACAAUGCUACUCGUACCAUUUUCCAUUUUAACGAGGUAACACAAUAUCAAAAUUCAUAAGAUGCCUUCUUAUGGAGUAUUGUCUCAUGGUUUCCCGCUCUAGGACCAAGCUAUUUAGUUAUCUAAAAUGCAAAGACUAAAAAGUUCAGACUUCUGAACUCCUGACAUCCAUUCAAGUAACCAAAACAAAAUGCAAACAGGGGAGUGGCCAAAUAAUUCCGAAAGGAAGUGGCCCACAAGUACAACAUGUUUUCAAGACUUCCAACAGUGUAUGGUAGUUCGAAUUGCUGCAAUCUGAACAGAUGCAGUUUGGAUUGACAAACCAUUUUACAUCAAUUAUUGUCACAACUCAUAUGGAACGAUCUCAUCAAAAGACCGGACUGAUUGCCAGGAAGAUGCACCCACCUAGCCAUCUCUCUAGAUAAUAACAGAAGGCAACCGAACAACGAAUUCACCAUGAACUUCAACAAUUGCGCCACACAAGCACAUGUGAGCCAAUUAGUAGAGUUCCUCCUCUUGGUGGGUUUGAAUGACGCAAUCCGCCUUGGGGUAUGAAAUGCAGGUCAGAAGGUAUCCCUCACCCAUCUGGCUCUCAUCGAGGAAGGAGCCCUCCGACUGAUCGACCUCCCCGGUCGUCAUCUUGCCCGCGCAUGUGGAGCACGAUCCGGCGCGGCAAGAGAAUGGCAGCUCCACUCCGGCAGUUUCAGCUGCCUCGAGAAUGUAGGUGUCUUCAGGGGCCUCAAACUCGUGCUCUUCUCCGUCCGGGCCUAUGAGCUUCACCUUGUGCACGGCCGUGGCAGACACCCUGAACGUGUUUGACAUCCUUAGGCCUGACAAGUUUGGUGUUUGCUUGGUGUAACCAACGAAGGAAGCGCUCCUGAUCGCCGGAGCAACGGCCCGGGAACCAGCCCCGGAUUUAGCAAAGGACACUCCUGGAGCAGUGGCAGUUGACAU
rnacentral:lncRNA from 1 species